rnacentral:sRNA from 1 species
CCCUAAGCUUACCAAUCAAUACAUUUGUCAUUACAAACAAAAAAAUUAUAUUUUUUAGAAGUAUUUUGGUGUUAAAGUGCGCGGCAAAAUAUAAUCAAAAUUUUCAUAGAUGUGGAUAUUGUAAAGCUUUUCAUCGGAAUAAGAGACGAUGAACAUACAGCAGACUGCAAUGUUGAUCUUUCGUGUGUGCCACCCUUUAAUGAAGCGCAUUAUAUAAUUUCAAAUCAUGAAAACAGAAAUCUGCUCAGAUUACAUCCGCCACCAUCUUCGAAGCCGCCAUCUGUUGCAGCGGUCAGCGACACUGCCAGCGAAACACAGCCGGUUAGGCGUGCGGAGUCGUGUUACUUUUAAGGUGCCGUCAUCAACAAUUCGCCUACCAUCCCAGGCUAUAGAACUCGAAAAGGAUAAAAUCGUGAUAGGCCCCAAGGAAAAGCAACUCACCAAAAUGACUUCAGAAGAUUUGCUCCAACCUGGACAUGUAGUUAAGGAGCGUUGG